rnacentral:rRNA from 1 species
AGUGAACGCUGGCGGUAGGCCUAACACAAGCCAGUCGAACGGCAGCACAGUAAGAGCUUGCUCUUACGGGUGGCGAGUGGCGGACGGGUGAGGAAUACAUCGGAAUCUACUUUUUCGUGGGGGAUAACGUAGGGAAACUUACGCUAAUACCGCAUACGACCUACGGGUGAAAGCAGGGGAUCUUCGGACCUUGCGCGAUUGAAUGAGCCGAUGUCGGAUUAGCUAGUUGGCGGGGUAAAGGCCCACCAAGGCGACGAUCCGUAGCUGGUCUGAGAGGAUGAUCAGCCACACUGGAACUGAGACACGGUCCAGACUCCUACGGGAGGCAGCAGUGGGGAAUAUUGGACAAUGGGCGCAAGCCUGAUCCAGCCAUACCGCGUGGGUGAAGAAGGCCUUCGGGUUGUAAAGCCCUUUUGUUGGGAAAGAAAAGCAGCAGGUUAAUACCCCGCUGUUCUGACGGUACCCAAAGAAUAAGCACCGGCUAACUUCGUG